AACCCAUGGUGUGGACACCUCCUUAAGUUCCUUGUAUCUUCCCCAUGCCUCAUAUAAUGAUUUAGACUUUUCUUGUAGAAAAGAUGUGAUAUCAUUUCUCAAUUU